UUGAUGUGCGGCCGGUUGGCGACGCCGGCAGCCUCGCAGGCUGCCUGAAUACGCGCGAUGUUGCGUUCGACACGAUCCAUGUCGAU
rnacentral:tRNA from 1 species